CAAUUGAAAAUAGAAAGUUAAAUAUCUCUCAAGUUGAAUUGUUCUGUGUCUAAAGUGCAAUAAGAAAAAAGAAAAGUUUAGUAUUUUUGGAUAACUAUUAGAGAAGUGUUCUUCACUAUAGAAAACUUAUAGAUUGCUUUCACAUUAUUCUCCCAUUAAAGUUUGAAGAUGUUAGGAUUCCUUGAAUUUAGGUUUCGAACGGGAUAUUGGUCAUUCUCAUGGUGCUCAACGACCAGAUGUGGACUGCUUUCGCAGCACUUCAUUUGGAAUAUCUCCAACUGAGGGUGUUGUUUCUGAUCUGCUAUCACAAGUUGAUAAAGAAAAAACUGAUAUUUUGAUGUAUUGCACAGGAGGUAUUCGUUGUGAUGUAUAUUCUACAAUCUUAAGAUGUUUUGCAAAUUGUGUGAUGGAUUUGAGAGGAUGCUGUUGUUACAGUUGCACGACUGCGCCGCGGAGCAGACCUGUUUUACCUGGGUUUGAAAGAUACAAAAAGUGGCAUGUAUAUCGAGAACAAGAAAUCGAAGCCAGAGCUCAAUGA